UAUAUCAAUUUGGCCAGAGGACGCUUUUCAUUAAUCAAUUAACCNAAAGAUUAGGGGAUCGAAGAUGAUCAGAUACCGUCGUAGUCUUAACCAUAAACUAUGCCGACUAGGGAUCGGGUGUUGUCCUUUUUUUGGCGCACUCGGCACCUUACGAGAAAUCAAAGUUUUUGGGUUCUGGGGGGAGUAUGGUCGCAAGGCUGAAACUUAAAGGAAUUGACGGAAGGGCACCACCAGGAGUGGAGCCUGCGGCUUAAUUUGACUCAACACGGGGAAACUCACCAGGUCCAGACACAAUAAGGAUUGACAGAUUGAGAGCUCUUUCUUGAUUUUGUGGGUGGUGGUGCAUGGCCGUUCUUAGUUGGUGGAGUGAUUUGUCUGCUUAAUUGCGAUAACGAACGAGACCUUAACCUACUAAAUAGUGCUGCUAGCUUUUGCUGGUAUAGUCACUUCUUAGAGGGACUAUCGAUUUCAAGUCGAUGGAAGUUUGAGGCAAUAACAGGUCUGUGAUGCCCUUAGACGUUCUGGGCCGCACGCGCGCUACACUGACGGAGCCAGCGAGUAUCUACCUUGGCCGAGAGGUCUGGGAAAUCUUUGUGAAACUCCGUCGUGCUGGGGAUAGAACAUUGUAAUUAUUGCUCUUCAACGAGGAAUUCCUAG
rnacentral:rRNA from 1 species